GACGAACGCUGGCGGCGUGCUUAACACAUGCAAGUCGAACGGAAAGGCCCUGCUUGCAGGGUGCUCGAGUGGCGAACGGGUGAGUAACACGUGGGUGAUCUGCCCCUUACUUUGGGAUAAGCCUGGGAAACUGGGUCUAAUACUGGAUAGGACCAUGCUGUAGGUGGUGUGGUGGAAAGAUUAGUUUCGUUAAGGGAUGAGCUCGCGGCCUAUCAGCUUGUUGGUGGGGUAAUGGCCUACCAAGGCGUCGACGGGUAGCCGGCCUGAGAGGGUGGACGGCCACAUUGGGACUGAGAUACGGCCCAGACUCCUACGGGAGGCAGCAGUGGGGAAUAUUGCACAAUGGGCGCAAGCCUGAUGCAGCGACGCCGCGUGGGGGAUGACGGCCUUCGGGUUGUAAACUCCUUUCAGCCAUGACGAAGCCCUUGUGGUGACGGUAGUGGUAGAAGAAGCACCGGCUAACUACGUG
rnacentral:rRNA from 1 species